rnacentral:rRNA from 1 species
GGCGUGGCUAAAACAUGCAAGUCGAACGAAACUGUUUUUGGGUAACUGAUGACAGUUUAGUGGCGAAAGGGUGAGUAAUGCAUGGGUAACGUACCCCGAGCUCCGGGAAAGCAGCAUCUGCCUUCGGGCAGAUUUCCGAAAGGGCUGGUAAUACCGGAUGUGGUCGAGAUUACUACGGUUUUUUCGAUCAAAGGUGGGGACCUUCGGGCCUACUGGCUCGGGAGCGGCCCAUGUCCCAUCAGCUUGUUGGUAAGGUAACGGCUUACCAAGGCUGCGACGGGUACCGGGGCUGAGAGGCUGAUCCGGCACAUUGGGACUGAGACACUGCCCAGACCCCCACGGGGGGCUGCAGUAACGAAUAUUCCGCAAUGGGCGAAAGCCUGACGGAGCGACGCCCCGUGUGGGAUGAAGUCCCUCGGGAUGUAAACCACUGUCAGGGCUACGGAAGCAAUACACCUUAAUACGGUGAGGCGCUGACCUACCCCAAAGGAAGCCACGGCUAACUUCGUGCCAGCAGCCGCGGUAAUACGAAGGUGGCGAGCGUUGUUCGGAUUCAUUGGGCUUAAAGCGCACGUAGGCGGCCGGUCAAGCAUCCUGUGAAAUCCCUCGGCUUAACUGAGGAAUUGCGGGGUGAACUGAUCGGCUUGAGCUGCACAUGGGCGACUGGAACUCCAGGUGGAGCGGUGAAAUGCGUAGAUAUCUGGAGGAACGCCAGUGGUGAAAACGGGUCGCUGGGUGCAUUCUGACGCUGAGGUGCGAAAGCGUGGGUAGCGAACGGGAUUAGAUACCCCGGUAGUCCACGCCGUAAACGAUGGGUACUAGGUUCGGGUGAGUCUGACCUCCUCCGUGCCGAAGCAAAAGUGAUAAGUACCCCGCCUGGGGAGUACGGUCGCAAGGCUAAAACUCAAAGGAAUUGACGGGGGCUCACACAAGCGGUGGAGCAUGUGGCUCAAUUCGAGCAACGCGAAGAACCUUAUCCUGGGCUUGACAUGGUUGGAUGCCCUUGGUGAAAGCCAAGUAAGCUGCCUUCGGGUGAAACUACCACAGGUGCUGCGUGGCUGUCGUCAGCUCGUGCUGUGAAGUGUUGGGUUAAGUCCCCUAACGAGCGAAACCCUUGUCUCUAGUUACCAUCGGGUCAUGCCGGGGACUCUAGAGAGACUGCCGGUGUUAAACCGGAGGAAGGUGGGGAUGACGUCAAGUCCUCAUGGCCUUUAUGCCCAGGGCUGCACACGC